AACGAACGCUGGCGGCAUGCCUAACACAUGCAAGUCGAACGAAACCUUCGUGCCUUUUUGCGCACGUCUGCGUAACGCGGGGUAACCUGCCCUUGAGUUCGCAAUACCUCCCCGUAAGAGGUCCUAAUACCGGAUAAUGUCUUCCGACCUAAGAUUUAUCGCCUUUGGGUGGGCCUGCGUUGGAUUAGCUAGUUGGUAGGGGAAAAGCAUAGCAAGGCGACGAUCCAGAGCUGGUCGGAGAGGAUGAUCAGCCACACUGGGACUGAGACACGGACCAGACUCCUACGGGAGGCAGGAGAGGGGAAUAUUGGACAAUGGGGGAAAGCCUGAUCCAGCAAUGCCGGGUGAGUGAUGAAGGCCGUAGGGUUGUAAAGCUCUUUUACCCGGGAUGAUAAUGACAGUACCGGGAGAAUAAGCUCCGGCUAACUACGUG
rnacentral:rRNA from 1 species